UACGUAGGGUGCAAGCGUUGUCCGGAAUUAUUGGGCGUAAAGGGCUCGUAGGCGGUCCAUCACGUCGGGAGUGAAAACCCGGGGCUCAACCCCGGGCCUGCAGUCGAUACGGGCAGACUAGAGUGCGGUAGGGGAGACUGGAAUUCCUGGUGUAGCGGUGAAAUGCGCAGAUAUCAGGAGGAACACCGGUGGCGAAGGCGGGUCUCUGGGCCGUAACUGACGCUGAGGAGCGAAAAGCGUGGGGAGCGAACAGG
rnacentral:rRNA from 1 species